CACCCCUGGAGAAACCCAUGGACAGAGGAGCCUCACUGGCUACAGUCCAUGGGUCAGAAGAGUCCGCGAGCACUGAGGGACUAAUGCUUUCACUAUAUCGUUUAAAUGAAGUAGUUAUAAAUGUAUCUUUCUAAAGUCUUAGGGAAUGGCAAAAACCAAAUUAGACUAUUUUUUCAGGUUUAUACUUCGAAAUAAAGUGGGAGUGUAAAAGAAUGGUGAAAACACAAUACAACAUUCUAUCCAAUCAGGUUAGGUUGUCGGGGCUUUGUCACGUGAUUAGGUAAAGGAGAUGGGGAUAUUGGGAGGGCGUGGCCAAGGUGGGGGUUCCUAAGACAGUAUAAAGGCCAGCAGAAGGCAUUCUGGUAAGUGGUCUCUUCCCUCUUCAUCCAGGUAACUGCUCUGUCUCCAGCGGUUUUGCCCAGUGUGCACAUAUCUGAGUGGCUCUGGACAGACAGCAAAAGCACGAUUGAAUUCUUUUCUCUUUAGGGGCCUCAGUUUGUCCUCAGCAAACUAGGAGAUUGGGAAAACUCUGCAGCGGUCCAUUUUCAGGCAUUGAGAGAAAGAGAAUCUCUGGGGUAAAACCCCAGCGAUGGACCCCAGCAAACUUUCCAUGGAACAGGGUAAAGCAUUCUUACAGGAGAUCGGGAUCCCACAAAGAGAUCUCGACUUGAUGACAGAGAAAUGGGUAGUUGAUGCUUCUGUGGAGGUUCUGCUACGGUUCCCUCUGUUGCCAGGAGAGGACCCAGCUGCCCGCUGUGUCCCCGAUAAGAAAUGUCAGCCUCCAGUGCACAAGCCUCACGGAGCUCCACAGAGACCUGGAGUCCAAGAGGAGAGAAAAUCCAAUAGUCAACUCCCAGGGAAGAAUGCCCAGAAGCCCCAGGAGGUGAGGCAGAUAAAAAGUCACUACAUUCACCAACUGCCCCAGAGACCCACUAUGGCUCAGAAUGUGAAGAAGCUACUGAGGGGACCUGUGGAGCGGAGGACUACUUUCUCAGGCAAGAAUAACAAGGUGAAGUGCAGAAACUGUGGUGCUUUUGGACACCUGGCCACCAGCAAGUGGUGCCCCAUGAAGUCCUGGGCUGGGGCCGUUGCUCCACAGCCUUUGGGCUCCAAGAAGAAGGAGAAUCUGGAACCGAGGAGACCCCAGGACAUCCAGACUCCAACGUUCUUUAAUGAGGCUGUCAGAGAGCAGGAACCAGAACCAAGGCAAGAGGUGCCGCAGAGAAAUGCUGUUCCCCAGACCCACCCUGUGAGUUGCCAAGGGAAGAGACAGAGACAGGAGCCUGAGGAUUUGCGUGCCUUCAUGAGGGUGAGUCUUGCCCAAGCCCCCCUGCUCUGUCCCUCCCUUCCAUCCCCCUUGUGCUUCUAUGUGAUAUAGUACUCUUGCUUGGAAAAUCCCUGGACGGAGGAGCCUGGUAGGCAACAGUCCACAGGGUCGCCAAUAAUUGGACACGACUGAGCCACUUCACUUCAUGCCUCUCAUGUGUGCAAGGUCAUGUUAAACCCAGGCUGGCCGCUAGGUGUCCUGUUUUUUGUUUUCACUUUCUAUAUUUUUCAGGUUCCAUUUUUUUUUUUUUUACACUAUGGGUUGGGGAAUCCAAAAUUCUGGUCCCACUAUUUUAAUUUUUUAUGCAAGUAGGCCAGCAAAAGCUAGUGAAGGCAUUUCAGCAUUUUUAUUGUGCAGUGGCUCAGUCGUGUCUGAUUCUUUGCCACCCCAUGGACUGUAGCAUGCCAGGCUUCCCCGUCCUUCACCAUCUCCUGAAGUUUGCUCACAUUCAGGUCCAUUGAGUUGGUAAUUCUAUCCAACCAUCUCAUCUUCUGUUGCUCCUUCUCCUCCUGCUCUUAAUCUUUCCUUGCAUCAGGGUCUUUCCCAAUGAGUUGGCUCUUCACAUUAGGUGGCCAACAUAUUGGAGCUUCAGCUUCAGGAUCAGUCCUUCCAAUGAAUAUUCAGGGAUGAUUUUAGCAUACAAAGUGUUUUAUCAGAUGCCUUCUCUGACUUCAAGUCCAGAUGAGGCAUCUUUUAACUUGCAAUUACUCCCAAUUGUCCUCAAAAAGAUAGUUGCUAUUGACAUUCUUCACAUUGCAUAGGAAAAUGUUUCUACCAUUGACCUUAACAAUAGACAAUAUAGGAAAGUUUUCAUGGCCAUAACUGAUGGGCAAAAGCCUCAGAUUGGUAUAGUAAUUUUUCCCCUUGACCAUCUCUGAGGUGGAUUUCUCUGCAAAUGUGUAAUGACCAUUUAUUUGCAUGUCUUUUCUGUGAAAUUUAAUUUUGUAUGUGUUGUCUGUGUCUAAUUGGGUUGUUCCUCUUCCUGUUGUAGAAAAAAACUUCUAGCAUAUAUUUAUUUUCUGUCUAUUGUAUUUUAUUUUAUUUUAUUAUAUGUAUAUUACAUAUAUAUAAUUAUAUUGUAUUAGUCUGCCAGCUAAUACAACAUUUGUCCCAAAUUGCUUAUGAUGUUCCUGUUUUCUAUUACUAUAUUGUUGAAACGAUCAGUGCCAGUGCCGUACUGCAUUCAGUUAGAUAAUUCUGACUCCCGAGGUAUCUAAUGAGGUUCCUUCUCCCACAGCAACCCACCCGGCCGAUGCCUGUCCAAACGUCCAAGAGGAGACCUGUCCUAGGCCCUGUCCUCAUGGGUCAGCCACUGGCCCAGAUCCCCAAGAAGAGAUGACUCUGCCCUUGAACUGAGUGCUUGUGGACACAAGACACGCGGUGGACGCUAAUGCCUCACCCAGCUGUGCAGACCUUCUGCCUGGAGGCCACUCUCAUGGCCGAGUCGACAGCCAGUGGGCCUGAUGGUAUCCCGUGGGAUAUUCCACUCCACCCGGCUUGCCCUGGGUUGUGUCUGUGACCUCUGGGCACAAAGCUAAUGUCCUGAUAUGGGCUCAAAGCCCAGCCCCCAACGUGCUGUACAACAGUGUGCCCAGAACUCAGUGCAGCUUCCAGGCAUGACUUGAGAGGGCUUCCUAGAUCCCUGUGCAGACUUGCCAGAAUCUCUCACCAAAAGGCAAGACUUGGCCUAUCUUACAGCUUCCAGCCCCAUUCUCAGCACCUGCUCUGGGGCUGCCAGGCUCUCCCAUGUCCCCUCAGUACACCUGGACUUGGAUCCUGACAAGCACCCACGUGACCAGGAAGACACCAGCCGUGACGCCCAACUUUUUCCUGGCUGUACUCUGAGGCAUGUGAGAUCUUAGUUCCCUAACUGGGAACGAACCCUCACCCCCUGCAUUGGGAGAGUGGAGUCUUUACCACUGGACGCCCCCGGGAAAGCCCCUUUAUGCCUGCAGGCUCCACCUAACUCAGUUUGGCCGAGCCCCGUCAAGAUCUGCAGUGUCCCCAGUGGUGGGAAGGAGACAGGAGGAUGAACUGAGUAGUAGCACUGAAACGUAUUUUACCAUGUAUAAAAUAGAUAGCUAGUGGGAAGUUGGUGUAGAACACAGGGAGCUCAACCCAGUGCUCUGUCAUACCCUAGAGGGGUGGGGUGUUCCUCUUCCUGUUGUAGAAAAAACUUCUAGCAUAUAUUUAUUUUCUGUCUAUUGUAUUUCAUUUUAUUUUAUUAUAUGUAUAUUACAUAUAUAUAAUUAUAUUGUAUUAGUCUGCCAGCUAAUACAACAUUUGUCCCAAAUUGCUUAUGAUGUUCCUGUUUUCUAUUACUAUAUUGUUGAAACGAUCAGUGCCAGUGCCGUACUGCAUUCAGUUAGAUAAUUCUGACUCCCGAGGUAUCUAAUGAGGUUCCUUCUCCCACAGCAACCCACCCGGCCGAUGCCUGUCCAAACGUCCAAGAGGAGACCUGUCCUAGGCCCUGUCCUCAUGGGUCAGCCACUGGCCCAGAUCCCCAAGAAGAGAUGACUCUGCCCUUGAACUGAGUGCUUGUGGACACAAGACACCCGGUGGACGCUAAUGCCUCACCCAGCUGUGCAGACCUUCUGCCUGGAGGCCCCUCUCAUGGCGAGUCGACAGCCAGUGGGCCUGAUGGUGUCCCGUGGGAUAUUCCACUCCACCCGGCUUGCCCUGGGUUGUGUCUGUGACCUCUGGGCACAAAGCUAAUGUCCUGAUAUGGGCUCAAAGCCCAGCCCCAACGUGCUGUACAACAGUGUGCCCAGAACUCAGUGCAGCUUCCAGGCAUGACUUGAGAGGGCUUCCUAGAUCCCUGUGCAGACUUGCCAGAAUCUCUCACCAAAAGGCAAGACUUGGCCUAUCUUACAGCUUCCAGCCCCAUUCUCAGCACCUGCUCUGGGGCUGCCAGGCUCUCCCAUGUCCCCUCAGUACACCUGGACUUGGAUCCUGACAAGCACCCACGUGACCAGGAAGACACCAGCCGUGGCCCAACUUUUCCUGGCUGUACUCUGAGGCAUGUGAGAUCUUAGUUCCCUAACUGGGAACGAACCCUCACCCCCUGCAUUGGGAGAGUGGAGUCUUUACCACUGGACGCCCCCGGGAAAGCCCCUUUAUGCCUGCAGGCUCCACCUAACUCAGUUUGGCCGAGCCCCGUCAAGAUCUGCAGUGUCCCCAGUGGUGGGAAGGAGACAGGAGGAUGAACUGAGUAGUAGCACUGAAACGUAUUUUACCAUGUAUAAAAUAGAUAGCUAGUGGGAAGUUGGUGUAGAACACAGGGAGCUCAACCCAGUGCUCUGUCAUACCCUAGAGGGGUGGGGUGGGGUGGGGAGGUGGGAGUGAGUUUCUAGAGGCAAGGUACAUAUGUAGACUUAUGGCUGACUGUUGUGUGGCAGAAAUCAACACAGCCUUGUAAAGGAAUUAUCCUCCAGUUAAAACUAAAUUAAAAAAAAAAAAAGAUCUGGAGUGUCUCUAAUCCCCACCACGAGUGUUUCUGGUCAGCCAGACAGAAUUGUCUGUAUAAGAUGGGGUGAGGGCUGGCCAAGCUCCAAUCUCAGGUGCUUCCUCCUCUCAAGAAGUCUACACUCGUUGGUCAGAACCCUCACAGCAGCGAGGAAUCUGAGGGACAGGUGUGUCCUUGUCUCUUUCUCCCCUGAGUGACUGUGUGACCCUCCCCCUCACUCCCAUGGAGGGAGGCUCAUCUUCAAGUCUUGCUAGAUUGGGAUGAGACUGAGUGGCGGAGAGUUGGGAAGAUGUGGGCAUCCCUGAGUCUGGUGAAUCUGCACUUGCCUGUGCAGAUUCUGGAACUCCAGAUAUGACUGGGGACCGGGGGACAAACACUGCCUUGACGUUUUGUAAAUUUCUGUUGUAUUUAAAAUGGAGCUUGCGAAAUUAUCAUAGGUAGUCCUUUGUAAGUUAGCUAUGUAAGAAGUGGAAUACAAAGAAACUGUUAUAAUGUCAGUAAAAGCUAUGAAAUUCAUCCGUGUGGAUGAGUAAAUGACUAAAAUAUGGGUAACUGGGCAAAAGGCCUGUUUAUGAUUUUGGAAAAUGUCUGAAGAAUUUCAGUGUAAGUUCUCUUCACUUGGUUAAGGGCAAUUAUUUUCUUAACUUUUUGCAGUUUGUUAUUAAAAACCAUUAUAAUGUUAUUUUUUGAUGGAUUUCUUUAAGUAUUAAUAAAAUGCUCUGAAAUAGAAUGUAUAUUGUAGGUGUUUUCAUUUUUGUUUGUCACCUCAAGUUAAUUUUCUUUAUUUUUCUUCAUCAAAUUCUCUUGAGUAAAGAGGAUCUUGGUACCUGCAGUGAAGUCCAGAGACUGUAUCUUGUAAGAAAUACAAAUCCUUA
ensembl:lncRNA